rnacentral:rRNA from 1 species
AUUGAACGCUGGCGGCAGGCCUAACACAUGCAAGUCGAGCGAGCGGCGGACGGGUGAGUAAUGUAUGGGGACCUGCCCGAUAGAGGGGGCUAACUACUGGAAACGGUGGCUAAUACCGCAUACUAUCCGAUGAACCCAUAUGGGCUUAGCUAGUAGGUGGGGUAAAGGCUCACCUAGGCGACGAGCCCUAGCUGGUCUGAGAGGAUGAUCAGCCACACUGGGACUGAGACACGGCCCAGACUCCUACGGGAGGCAGCAGUGGGGAAUAUUGCACAAUGGGCGAAAGCCUGAUGCAGCCAUGCCGCGUGUGUGAAGAAGGCUUUAGGGUUGUAAAGUACUUUCGGCGGGGAGGCGUUACCCGCAGAAAAAGCACCGGCUAACUCCGUGCCAGCAGCCGCGGUAAUAC